rnacentral:rRNA from 1 species
CCUACGGGAGGCAGCAGUGAGGAAUAUUGGUCAAUGGACGGGAGUCUGAACCAGCCAAGUAGCGUGAAGGAUGACUGCCCAAUGGGUUGUAGACUUCUUUUAUCUGGGAAUAAAACGUUCCACUUGUGGGAUUUUGUAGGUACCAUAUGAAUAAGAAUCGGCUAACUCCGUGCCAGCAGCCGCGGUAAUACGGAGGAUCCGAGCGUUAUCCGGAUUUAUUGGGUUUAAAGGGUGCGUAGGUGGAUUGUUAAGUCAGUUGUGAAAGUUUGGGGCUCAACCGUAAAAUUGCAGUUGAAACUGGCAGUCUUGAGUACAGUAGAGGUGUGCGGAAUUCGUGGUGUAGCGGUGAAAUGCUUAGAUAUCACGCAGAACUCCGAUUGCGAAGGCAGUUCACUGGACUGCAACUGACACUGAGGCUCGAAAGUGUGGGUAUCAAACAGGAUUAGAUACCCCUGUAGUC